GACAGAGCCUCGAGCGUUAGGCGGAAUCACUGGGCUUAAAGCGUGUGUAGGCGGAAGCGUAAGUACCUUGUGAAAUCCCACGGCUCAACCGUGGAACUGCUGGGUAUACUGGCGUUUCUUGAGCCAUUUAGGGGCGAGUGGAACGGAUGGUGGAGCGGUGAAAUGCAUAGAUAUCAUCCGGAACGCCUGUGGUGAAGACGACUCGCUGGGAAUGUGCUGACGCUGAGACACGAAAGCCCAGGGGAGCAAACGGG
rnacentral:rRNA from 1 species